UAAUACUUGCACUGAGAGGGGACUUGCUCAUCCAGGGUCCAGCAGUGCAUCCAGAACCCCAGUCACUUCAGUUAGCGGCAUGGUUCUUGAGAAAAACAACCUCUUGAAAUCGGGCCUGUCAGAGUCUGUCUCUAAUACUCUACUAAAAUCCAGGAAAUGCUCUACAUCAGCCUCCUAUUAUAAAAUAUGGGAAACGUUCUGCUCCUGGAUGGUGGAUAAGGGAAUUUCUUGUAAUGCACCUCGCGUGGCAGACAUC